rnacentral:ncRNA from 1 species
AAGAGCCGUAUGACAUGAGAGUGUCACGUACGGUUCCGAGAGAGGCUUAGAGUGAAACUCCCUAGGCCUACUCGAC